CCUACGGGAGGCAGCAGUCGAGAAUCAUUCACAAUGGGGGAAACCCUGAUGGUGCGACACCGCGUGGGGGAAUGAAGGUCUUCGGAUGGUAAACCCCUGUCAUGUGGGAGCAAAUUAAAAAGAUAGUACCACAAGAGGAAGAGACGGCUAACUCUGUGCCAGCAGCCGCGGUAAUACAGAGGUCUCAAGCGUUGUACGGAAUCACUGGGCGUAAAGCGUGCGUAGGCUGUUUCGUAAGUCGUGUGUGAAAGGCGCGGGCUCAACCCGCGGACGGCACAUGAUACUGCGAGACUAGAGUAAUGGAGGGGGAACCGGAAUUCUCGGUGUAGCAGUGAAAUGCGUAGAUAUCGAGAGGAACACUCGUGGCGAAGGCGGGUUCCUGGACAUUAACUGACGCUGAGGCACGAAGGCCAGGGGAGCGAAAGGGAUUAGAUACCCUGGUAGUC
rnacentral:rRNA from 1 species